UCCUACGGGAGGCAGCAGUGGGGAAUCUUGCACAAUGGGCGCAAGCCUGAUGCAGCAACGCCGCGUGCGGGAAGAAGGCCCUAGGGUUGUAAACCGCUUUCAGCAGGGAAGAAAAUGACGGUACCUGUAGAAGAAGGUGCGGCCAACUACGUGCCAGCAGCCGCGGU
rnacentral:rRNA from 1 species